rnacentral:misc_RNA from 1 species
GAUGGAACGCAGCGAAAUGCGAUACUUGGUGUGAAUUGCAGAAUCCCGUGAACCAUCGAGUCUUUGAACGCAAGUUGCGCCCGAAGCCAUCAGGUUGAGGGCACGUCUGCCUGGGCGUCACAUAUCGUUGCCCAAUGCCUAUUGCAGUGCAAUAGGAAUUUCUAGGGCGAAUGAUGGCUUCCCGUGAGCGUUGUUGCCUCGCGGUUGGUUGAAAAUCGAGUCCUUGGUAGGGUGUGCCAUGGUAGAUGGUGGUCGAGUUAGAACGAUACCGAUCAUGUGCAUGCUCCCCAAAAUAUGGCCUCUAUGACCCACACGCGUCUUUUGACGCUCAUGACGAGACCUCAGGUCAGGCGGGGCUACCCGCUGAAUUUAAGCAUAUCAAUAAGCGGAGGA